GACGAACGCUGGCGGCGUGCCUAAUACAUGCAAGUCGAACGAGAGCGACCGGUGCUUGCACUGGUCAAUCUAGUGGCGAACGGGUGAGUAAUACGUGGGUAACCUGCCCAUCAGAGGGGGAUAACAUCCGGAAACGGAUGCUAAAACCGCAUAGGUCUUCGAGCCGCAUGGCUUGAAGAGGAAAAGAGGCGCAAGCUUCUGCUGAUGGAUGGACCCGCGGUGCAUUAGCUAGUUGGUGAGGUAACGGCUCACCAAGGCCGUGAUGCAUAGCCGACCUGAGAGGGUGAUCGGCCACAUUGGGACUGAGACACGGCCCAAACUCCUACGGGAGGCAGCAGUAGGGAAUCUUCCGCAAUGGACGCAAGUCUGACGGAGCAACGCCGCGUGAGUGAAGAAGGUUUUCGGAUCGUAAAACUCUGUUGUUAGAGAAGAACAAGUGCUAGAGUAACUGUUAGCGCCUUGACGGUAGCUAACCAGAAAGCCACGGCUAACUACGUG
rnacentral:rRNA from 1 species